AUUGAACGCUGGCGGCAGGCCUAACACAUGCAAGUCGAACGAGUGGCGGACGGGUGAGUAAUGUCUGGGAAACUGCCUGAUGGAGGGGGAUAACUACUGGAAAGGGUAGCAAAUACCGCAUACCACCAAAUGCCCCAAGAUGGGAUUAGCUUGUUGGUGGGGUAACGGCUCCCCAAGGCGACGAUCCCUAGCUGGUCUGAGAGGAUGACCAGCCACACUGGAACUGAGACACGGUCCAGACUCCUACGGGAGGCAGCAGUGGGGAAUAUUGCACAAUGGGCGCAAGCCUGAUGCAGCCAGGCCGCGUGUAUGAAGAAGGCCUUCGGGUUGUAAAGUACUUUCAGCGGGGAGGCGUUACCCGCAGAAGAAGCACCGGCUAACUCCGUGCCAGCAGCCGCGGUAAUAC
rnacentral:rRNA from 1 species